UACGAAGGGUCCAAGCGUUGUUCGGAUUUAUUGGGCGUAAAGCGCGCGCAGGCGGAUCAGUAAGUCAGGUGUGAAAUCUCGAAGCUCAACUUCGAAACUGCGCCUGAAACUACUAGUCUAGAAUAUCAGAGGGGGUAGGGGAAUUUCACGUGUAGGGGUAAAAUCCGUAGAGAUGUGAAGGAACACCGGAGGCGAAGGCG
rnacentral:rRNA from 1 species